UACGUAGGGACCAAGCGUUGUUCGGAUUUACUGGGCGUAAAGGGCGCGUAGGCGGCUUAACAAGUCACUUGUGAAAUCUCCGGGCUUAACUCGGAACGGCCAAGUGAAACUGUCAAGCUAGAGUGCAGAAGGGGCAAUCGGAAUUCCAGGUGUAGCGGUGAAAUGCGUAGAUAUCUGGAGGAACACCGGUGGCGAAGGCGGCGUUCUGGACUGCAACUGACACUGAGGAACGAAAGCCAGGGGAGCAAACGGG
rnacentral:rRNA from 1 species